rnacentral:rRNA from 1 species
UACGUAGGGGGCUAGCGUUGUCCGGAUUUAUUGGGCGUAAAGAGCGUGUAGGCGGCCAGGUAGGUCUGCUGUGAAAACUCGAGGCUCAACCUCGAGGCGUCGGCGGAAACCAUCUGGCUAGAGUCCGGAAGAGGAGAGUGGAAUUCCUGGUGUAGCGGUGAAAUGCGUAGAUAUCAGGAGGAACACCUGCGGUGUAGACGGCUUACUGGACCAUCACUGACGCUGAGGCACGAAAGCGUGGGUAGCAAACAGG